UCAUGCCCGGAUGCAGCCCACCAACCUCCAAGAUUGCUUAAGGACUAAGCAAAUGAAGAUAAGAUCAAGUUACUUCGGGAUGAAGGCAAUUCAAAUGGAAAGUCAUCAAGAGAUAAUUAUAUCCCGAAGCAAACGACGUCCUGGACCCACAUGCAGCGAAAGGAAGACUUUAGAAGCAUCAAGGAAGCUUGGGUAAAAAGUUGAGCGCAAAUGGGCCAAGGAAUGGCCCAGGCCGCGCGGCCAAGGCUCCCUUUGGCCGCGCCGCCCAAGGCUUUCCUUAACCGCCUCGCCUUCCCCUUUGACCUAGGGUUUCCCAGGACUAUAAAUAUCUCACCUUUCGGCCGGCACCCCAUCAUUCGAAGCAGAAAGCCGAGGAACUUGAGGGACAUCCAUCUACGGAGAGCUGAGGGCCGUGCAGUUGUCUAGAGGCUAGCCUAGGCUAGGCUCUAGCCGGCGGGAUCACCCUGCGAGGAAGAUCACGCCGGAGUUAUGGAGCUAGGAGUCACAAGAAGGCACAAUCAAGCAAGUAGCAGCAACAAGGAACAUCGGAAGCGAAGGCCACAGAACCGGCGGGAUCACCCUGCGAGGAAGAUCACGCUGGAGUUCUGGAGCUAGGAGUCACAAGAAGUUUUUGUUACCAGCCAAGGACUUUGACUGGCCCUACGAGGUCCAUCAAUUGAACACCCAAACCAGCCAAGGACUUUGGCCGCACCGAAGGUUCCCACUCUUAAUUUACCAGUUGCGUCGGAUGCCGAGCGCGCCCGGGCUCACGCCAACAUCGACCUACUUGAGAAGCGACGUUCUGACGUGGCGGCUCUUGUAGAAAAGGCCGGCCAAAGGAGGCAACUGGACGCCGACUAUCCCCCGGAUGUUGGCACUAUCCUCUCGUGGCUCAUGUAGAAAAGGCCGGCCAAAGGAGGCAACUGGAUGCCGACUAUCCCCCGGAUGUUGGCACUAUCCUCUCGUACCCGGCUAAGGAGCUUCUGGAGGAGGUGGACUCCUAGGAGGUGGAACCGGAUUGGGUCGUCAAUUCGAUUCUUAUUUUGUUCAUGGAGCUCAGUUAGUUUUUUUUAGAUCAUCAAAUUAGAGUCAUGUGUUUAUGGAGCUCGGUUAGUUUUUUUAGAUCAUCAAAUUAGAGUCGUGUGUUUAGGAAGGGGCAUGGUGAUGAACCGAUGUUAUUGUGGAACUUGUAAUGCUUGUCGGAUUGUUUCCUUAUUUCAUCAAGUCAAGUCCAUCAGUAAGGAUUUUUAAAUGACACCAUAUUACCCCGUUUAAAUGACAUCAGUUAGUUGAUGGACAUGGUAAUCCCUAAUGAUAAAUCUUUAAAUGACACCAUAUUACCCCGUUUAACUUCGAUAAUUGCAUGAAUUUAAUAUCUAAACUAAUGAUCAUACUCUAUAAUCGGGUCAUAUUCGUAUAUGCAUGUGUUUUUGGAGGAUUUUGAUUUAUGCAGGAUAAAUGAUAAAUUAGAGAUGAAUAUGGGCUAAAUUCGAGACAAGCGAAAGAUGAAGGCCGAAAGCCCGGAUGAAGCAGGCC